GUGUUGAAUGAAAGGAGAGAAGGUUAGCACUCCCCUUAAGAAGGAUGGAAGAGGUCCUAGUGACCUUAACAACACACAUAAGUUUAAGGCAUUUCCACUUACUUUGCAGAUUCUAACCAUGGGUUGUG